UCGCCUUGAGUUGGAGGAUGUUCACACCUCGCUUGGAGUUACGAGUUGGAGCUAUGUUGCAAUUGGACACUAUUUUGGGCUUGGAAGCAUGUUGAUAGUGGAGCGUAGUUUUGCAGGUCAUGGAGCGUAGCAGGUGGCUUCAAGUUUCGUGGUGGAGUCACCUAGGAAGCAGAUGGCCCAAGAGCAACACUGGGCAUUCGUGCUUAUGGAGUGUAGCAGGUGGCCUCUAGUUUUGCGGUGGAGGCACCUGGGAGGCGGACGACCCAAGAGCAGUGCUAGGCUUUUAUGCUCAUGGUUUUGUUAGUUU
rnacentral:lncRNA from 1 species